UUUUCCGCGUUGGACCGCACACAAGUCUGUUGGAAUACAGCGGCAUAGUGGUGAGCCCCCCGUAUAUGGUGCGGACGCCCAGCGCUUUGUGAUACAUUUUCGAAGAGUCGAGUUGUUUGGGAAUGCAGCUCAAAUUGGGUGGUAAAUUCCAUCUAAAGCUAAAUAUUGGCGAGAGACCGAUAGCGAACAAGUACCGUGAGGGAAAGAUGAAAAGCACUUUGGAAAGAGAGUUAACAGUACGUGAAAUUGUUGGAAGGGAAACGCUUGAAGUCAGACUUGCUUGCCGAGCAAUCGGUUUGCAGGCCAGCAUCAGUUUUCCGGGAUGGAUAAUGGUAGAGAGAAGGUAGCAGUUUCGGCUGUGUUAUAGCUCUCUGCUGGAUACAUCUUGGGGGACUGAGGAACGCAGUGUGCCUUUUGGCGGGGGUUUCGACCUCUUCACACUUAGGAUGCUGGUGGAAUGGCUUUAAACGACCCGUCUUGAAACACGGACCAAGGAGUCUAACAUGCUUGCGAGUAUUUGGGUGUCAAACCCGGAUGCGUAAUGAAAGUGAAUGGAGGUGGGAACCGCAAGGUGCACCAUCGACCGAUCUGGAUUUUUAAUGAUGGAUUUGAGUAAGAGCACGUAUGUUGGGACCCGAAAGAUGGUGAACUAUGCCUGAAUAGGGCGAAGCCAGAGGAAACUCUGGUGGAGGCUCGUAGCGGUUCUGACGUGCAAAUCGAUCGUCAAAUUUGGGUAUAGGGG
rnacentral:rRNA from 1 species